rnacentral:lncRNA from 1 species
GUCCUUAAAGGAUGACUUGUAAUAUGGUUCUUUACAAUUUACCAAGACGAUCAUAAAACUUGAUACAGAAGCACUCUCCCUUCUUCUUAGAUUGGAGAAACUUCUUAUCUUUCUGCCUAAUUGAUUCUUCUUAUUCGUUGUGCUAUUAUUGAGACCUUUCAAUAAUUCAGAAUAUACUUAAUUGAUGGGUUUUAGCCAUAAGAACUUUCCUAUGUGCGCAUGCAAAACCCUAAUGCUCGGAUCUAGGCUUUCUAAUUAAACAUGCUUUGAAUCCAAGACUUCUAAUGACUAUUUAGAAAUAAGAACAAUGAUAAAACAGAUCUAGAAUCAUACCCUUGAAUUCCUUUGUUGAUCUUGUUGUCUUGGAGCUUUUAGAGUCACAAUUGUCACUCCUCUAAUGGCUUACAAACACCAAAUAGCAAGGAGGAUGAUAUGGGAGAGAGGAGAGGGGAGGAAAUCGGCCAGGGUUUCUAUGCUUUAGAUGAAGUGCCGAUUUCCCUUAGCCAUAGGGUCUAUUUAUACUUGUAGACUCCUUAAGGGUUACAACCUAAACCCUAAUUGGAUAAUCUUCUCUUAAGGCUAUCCAAAUCCAUUCCUUAGAUAACUCUUGGACGAUUUGAGCUAUCCUUUAGCUUCUAGAAUCCGCCCAAUCCAUAUCUAUAUGGAUUUACAGUCUAAAGUUUAACUAUCAAACAAUUGACAGUUUAUACCCUCUUAUUUAAUUAAUCUCUUUAAGUCACCAAAUUAAUUCCAAUUAAUUCUAUGACUUAUAUUAAUCAAAUAACAAUAUAUUAUUCUUUAUAUUAUUCUCAUAAUAUACUAAUAAUAUUUACUCUCUCUUAAUAAAUCAUCCUAUCAAGUUGCUAUGGUGAAGGCAACCCAAAAGGACCAUGCACAACCGGGUCAAAUACUUGCCUAAUAUAGUUGCAGCCUUAGACACUAUUCCAACAGUCUCCCACUUGGAUAAGUCUAGUAACUAUAUGCACAAGUACAAUUCGGUUUGCAAUCGUAGCUCUCAAAGACGUUGUCAAACUCUGAUCUAAUCAAUCUUGUCCUUUAGAUAAGGGAUCGUACAGUCCUCUGUUAGAUAUCAUGCUGACAAUCCUAUGGAAUGGUUAGUCAAGCAUUUAGGUUUCUCGAUCUCUGAUUUAUUUGACAUAGAACUUAAUCGAACACAUCAAUUCAGUUCUGACCGGGCCCGGCACAUAAGUCAAAUCAAAUCAUCGAGCGGCCGAGAUAUCGCUUUUACCUUCUUAGAUAAAAGUUACAGAUAAACUUCGACUUAUAUGCAUUUACUUAUUCAUUAACCAACUAUACACAACAAUGCGUUUUAUAACACCGAGUUACUGAUGCGUUUUCGCAUUAUCAAUGUACAAUCAAUUAACAAAUAACAAACCAUAUAUCUAGGUUUUAAGACUAUAUGAUAUUAUCGUCUUGCGAUCACCCUUUUAUAUCAUAUUCCAUAAGGUGAUUCCAGCAAGCGCGGGUUUGUUCCAAUGCUCAAAACUAGUUCAUAAGCACUCAUGAACGUUGCAGCAACCCUUUGCUAUGUCUAACACCAUUUAGACAAUCUACACACCAAUUCAUGACAAUCUUCAUUCAUAUCUACUUCCAACAUAUGAACGAUUGUGGACAAUUUGAACAAUUCGAUUAUUCCUAAUAAACUCAAUUAUUCUGGAAGUCAAAACAUGCAAAGUGAAACAAUAGUUAAACAAUUAACAUAAGAUAGUAACAUUACUCAUAAAUAAAACUCCUUUAUUUAAUCAUCAAAUGUUAAUUACAUUUAUCUAUUACACGUUUCUAAUACUAUCUAAUCUAUGCUAAUAUCAUCCUUCAGCCCAAUACUCCUAGCAUGCUGCAAGUGCUUAACCCUACUCAGUCCCUUCGUAAGCGGAUCUGCUGGGUUAUCUUCUGAUGAUAUCCUCUUCACUACGAGUUGUCCUUCUUCUACACGAUGUCUAAUGAAGUGAUAUUUUCUGUCGAUAUGUCUUGAUCUACCAUGAUCCCUCGGUUCCUUGGUCAAGGCAACCGCUCCUUCGUUAUCACAGAAAAUCUCCAUGGGCUCCUUUAUGGCAGGUACAACUCCAAGAUCACCGAUGAAGUUCUUUAGCCAUAUUGCCUCCUUCGACGCUUCGCUCGCUGCAAUGUACUCUGAUUCGCACGUUGAAUCAGCUACGGUUUCCUGCUUGGAACUCUUCCAUGUCACUGCUCCUCCAUUUAGGGUAAAGACCCAGCCCGACUGCGAACGGUAGUUGUCCCUGUCGGUCUGAAAACUGGCGUCACUAUACCCUCGCACCUUCAAGUCAUCACUCCCUCCGAGGACUAAGAACCAUUCCUUCGUCCUCCGAAGGUACUUAAGGAUAUUCUUCACCGCAAUCCAAUGUGCUCUGCCAGGAUUCCCUUGAUAUCUGCUAACCAUGCUCAAAGCGAAGGCUACAUCAGGGCGAGUACAAGUCAUAGCGUACAUGAUUGAGCCAACUGCGGAAGCGUAUGGUACUCGGCUCAUUUCUGCUAUCUCAGCUUCGGUACUCGGACUUUGAGUCUUACUCAAUUUGGCAUUACUUUGUAUCGGUAGUUCUCCCUUCUUUGAGUUUUCCAUACUAAAACGUUUUAGUACCUUCUCUAAGUAAGUAUUCUGACUAAGUCCAAUUAGUCUCUUACUUCUUUCUCUUACUAUCCUUAUUCCCAAAAUGUAAGAAGCCUCUCCGAGGUCCUUCAUAGCGAAGCACUUCCCGAGCCAGGACUUAACCUCCUGCAGAGUCGGGAUGUCGUUUCCUAUGAGUAAUAUGUCAUCGACAUAUAGAACGAGGAAGCUUACUAUACUCCCACUGGCUUUGACAUAUACACAAGAUUCGUCUUCGCUUCGUACAAAUCCAAACUCUUUGACUUUCUCAUCGAAGCAAAGAUUCCAUCUGCGAGACGCUUGCUUAAGUCCAUAAAUGGACUUCUCAAGCUUACACACUCUAUUCGGAUGCUUCGGAUCCACAAACCCCUCUGGCUGAGCCAUGUAAACAUCCUCAGCCAACUUUCCGUUAAGGAAAGCGGUCUUGACAUCCAUUUGCCAAAUCUCAUAAUCAUGAAAUGCGGCAAUUGCUAGCAUCACUCUAAUAGAUUUAAUCUUCGCAACUGGUGAGAAGGUCUCAUCAUAGUCAACUCCGGGAGUUUGAGUAAAGCCCUUCGCAACCAAUCGCGCUUUAUAUGUGUGUACGUUUCCAUCCACGUCGGUCUUCUUCUUGAAGAUCCAUUUGCACCCAACGGUCUUACGUCCGGGCACAUAAUCAACCAAAUUCCAAACUUGGUUAUCAUACAUGGAUUGGAUCUCGCUAUCCAUUGCCUCUUUCCAUUUUGCAGACUCCGGGCCUGCCAUGGCUUCCUUAUAGCUAUUAGGUUCAUCAAGAUUUAUUAGUGUACCAUCACUAAUAUACGUGUCCCCUUCGGUAGUAAUAUGAAAACCAUAAAACUGGGGUUGAACUCUAACUCUAUCGGAACGUCUAAGAGGUAAGGAUUCGUCAAUCGGUUCAACCGGAGUUUCCUCCUCGGGUUGAGUGCCAGCGGUAGAGGUUCCUUCAUCUAUCGACUCUUGAAUCUCUUCAAGCUCGAUUUGCCUCCCACUGUCUCCUUGGCUUAUGAGUUCUCGCUCUCGGAAAACUCCUCUCCUCGCAACGAAGACAACAUUGUCCUUCGGUCUAUAGAAGAGAUAUCCAAAGGAUGUCUGCGGGUAGCCGAUGAAAAUACAUCGCUCACUUCGAGGUUCAAGCUUGUCGUGAGUAUCUCGUCUUACGAAAGCCUCGCAACCCCAAACCUUGAUAUGUGCCAACGAGGGAGCUUUCCCUGUCCACAUCUCGUGAGGUGUUUUGGCAACCUUCUUAGUAGGGACUCGGUUAAGGAUAUGGGCGGCAGUCUCUAAGGCAUACCCCCAAAAAGAGAUAGGUAGUGAAGCACGACUCAUCAUAGAGCGAACCAUAUCCAAUAAGGUUCGAUUACGCCUUUCUGCCACACCAUUCAACUGCGGUGUCCUAGGAGGCGUCAAUUGCGAAACUAUUCCACACUCCUUGAGAUAAUCGUGGAAUUCAAGACUUAGGUACUCUCCUCCUCGAUCGGAUCGAAGCAUCUUGAUUUUCCUGCCCAAUUGAUUCUCCACUUCAUUCUUGAACUCUUUGAACUUUUCAAAGGUGUCUGACUUUUGCUUGAUUAAGUAGAUAUACCCAUAUCUACUAUAGUCAUCGGUAAAAGUCACAUAGAAGCGGUUCCCAUCCUUCGUGGUUGAUCUAAACGGUCCACAUACAUCGGUAUGUAUUAGGUCCAAUAGACCCUCGCCCCUUUCACAUGUACUCGUGAAGGGUGACUUAGUCAUCUUUCCAAGCAAACAAGACUCGCAUGUGUCAUCUUCCCUAAGGUCGAAUGACUCCAACACUCCAUCCUUUUGGAGUUGGGCUAUGCGUUUCUUGUUGACAUGUCCAAGACGACAAUGCCACAAGGAUGCUUUAUCCAUACUAGUGGAAGAAUCAAUAUUCAAAACAUCAUUUCCUAAGUUAUCAACAAUCAUAACGGUUUCAUAUAUUCCAUUACAUGGUAUAGCUUCAAAGUAAAAGACACCAUUUAGAUAAGCCAAAAUAGAACCAUUCUCAUUAUUAAAAGAAAAUCUAAAUCCUUGUCUAUAUAAACCAUGAAAUGAAAUGAUGUUUCUUGCCAUUUCUGGCGAAUAGCAACAAUUGUUCAAAUCUAAAACUAAACUAUUCCUAAGCACUAAGGAAUACACUCCAAUCUUGGUCACAGGCGACGAUCUUCUGUUCCCCAUGAUUAGAUUGAUCCUUCCUUGCUCCACAUCCCUACUUCUUCUUAGUCCCUGCACAUUAGAACAAAUGUGAUAACCACAACCGGUAUCAAGAACCCAAGAAAUAGCAUGAUUAGAAUCGUUAGAUUUGAUUGUAUAUAUACCUGCGAAAGAUGGCUUGAUCUUUCCUUCUUUGAUUGCUUGCAGGUAAUCCGGGCAGCUUCUCUUCCAAUGUCCUAUCUUGUGGCAGUGGUGGCACUCUGCCUCCUUCGGGUUAGAGCAGGGCUUGGCGGGAUCAACUUUGGUCCCACUAGAAGAGGCACCAUCUCGGGCUUUCACCUUGCGAUAGUUCUUCGAUGAAGCUUUCCUCUUCUUUCCCUUCCCUUGUCCAAUAGCCAAGACAGGAGCAGCGGGCGGAUUGGGAGUAGGUGCAACAGACUUGUCUUUGAAGUUGCUCUCAGCAACCCUCAAGAGACCUUGGAGCUUGCUUAGGGUGACCUCUUCUUUGUUCAUGUGGUAGGUCAUCCUAAAUUGGUUGUACAUCGGAGGCAAAGAGUGAAGCACCAUGUCGAUCGCCAAGUCUUCACCGAAGUCAACAUUUAACUUGCGGAGGCGGUCAACAUACCUUUGCAUCUUUUGCAAGUGCACGGUAAGAGAUUCUCCAUGACCCAUCUUCGCGGAAAUCAUGUUAGUGAAAAUCUCGUACCUCUCUUGUCUCGCGUUUUGGUGGUACCUCUCCAAUAAGUCUUGAUGCAUCUCGUACGGGUACAUGUCCUCGUAGGACUUUUGGAAUUCGGAGUUCAUGGUGGCGAUCAUGAUGCAAUGUACCUUCGUUGCAUCUCGCUCAUGAGUUUCAAAGGCGGUGAUUUCGGCGGGAGUAGCAAUUUCGGGGUUGAUUUUCUCGAGCUUCUCAUCGAGGACAUACUCCUUAUCCUCAUAGCGAGCAAUGGUGCGAAUGUAUCUUAUCCAUUCGCUAAAGUUCGUUCCAUCGAAGGUGACCUUUUGGCAAAGGCUCAUCAACGUGAAAGAACUAGCAGCAGCGUUGUUUGCGUUCGACAUCUACAAUUAGAAAAGGACAAAGAUAGAUUAGAAUAAGAAUCCCUAAUUAUCACCCAAUAAGAAAAUUAGGGCUAGGAUCCAACAAUAACAUUUACAUACUAGAAAAGGGAUGCCGUAAUCUAACAUGCAAAUAAAUUGAAGGUAAGUGAAUGACGAUUCACUAAUUCUCCAUCACAAAACUUAAACUAUUAGUCCUAAGUGUUUUUGAGAAUUCCUAGGUUCGGAUGAGAUUCAUUGAAACUAUUCAAUGGCAUGUUUAAAUCUCGAUAUGCCCCUCUUGUUUGUGACUGGGAUGCCGAGGAUCACAAAGCGGGUGUGAAUUACCAUGCAAAUUCACAUGGUGCCUUCAUUGUAACAAUCACCUAUUCGAUGUGCCGGUAAACCACACACGCUCCAUCGAACUAUGAUAAACAAUGAAUCACCCUUUGCCACCUUCGCUUAGAACCAAUUAGUGUGCCGGUAAACCACACACGCUCCACUAACAUCUUAGCAAGGUGCAAAGUGUAAUUUCAUGGGAUUGCAUCAAUUCACUUUUCCUAAAGUAACUAGGAUUGGGAAAUUUUAAAAAAAUGUGUAGUUACUUUAUAUUUCUUAUUAUACUUUUAAUGAGAGGAUGAGGUUGCCCUAUCCUACCCGUUCGGCUAACGACCCUCCACCAAUCAAGCAAGCGGUGGGUGUGAGUGUACACCCAUUAAGCGCCAUUUUAUAGGCCGCAACCUUAUACCCACCUUAUAGAUCGGCUUCGUGAAUGAGGCCUACUAACGGUAAGACUAGCAUUUAGUUAUACAUAUAUAUAUUAUUCUAGUAAUAUCAUAUUAGUAUAGGGUUGUAUUUUAAAACUUUUAAAAUCUAGGGUUUGAAAUUUAAGUUGUCUAAAUUAAAACUUUUAAUCACAAAAGUAAAUUUCAAAACAUGAGGGUAGGUUUUAAACAUUUAAAACAUGGAGGAUCAAAUAACAAAUAAUUCCAAUUAACAAUUAAUAUCCUAAUUAUCUAUAUUUGAUUUAUUCAAGAUUUCUUUUAAAGAUAAUUACCAAAAUAAUCAAAAUAAUUAAUUAAUUAUCAUAUAAGGAAAUUAAAUAUUUAAUUAGUUGAUAAUUACCUUUAACUAGAUCAAGAUAAUAGUUAUAUUUAUCAGAAAAACGAAUUAAUGUUGAUCUAAUUAGUUUAUGGUAAGUUAAGAUAAGAUAAACACAAAGAAAUCCCGAAUCUGGCCAUUCCUGACGCCUGGACUCGCCGAGUGCACAAAUGGACUCGCCGAGUCAGGCCUACUCGCCGAGUCCACUUUGAGACUCGCCGAGUCCAUGACUCAGAAACCAAAAAUUCGAAUUUUGCAGGUUUGUUUCAGUUAAUCAAGCAACAAUUUACAGAAAACCAAGCUAGGCUCUGAUACCACUGAUGGGUUUUAGCCAUAAGAACUUUCCUAUGUGCGCAUGCAAAACCCUAAUGCUUGGAUCUAGGCUUUCUAAUAAACAUGCUUUGAAUCCAAGACUUCUAAUUACUAAUUAGGUUAAACAAGAACAUUAAAACAGAUCUAGAAUCAUACCUUUGAGUUCCUUGUUGAUCUUGAGGUCUUGGAGCUUCUAGAGUCACAAAUGUCACUCCUCUAAUGGCUUACAAACACCAAAGCAAGGAGGAUGAUUUGGGAGAGAGGAGAGGGGAGGAAUUUCGACCAGAGGUUCCUUACUUUAGGUCAAGUGUCGAAUUCCAUCAGCCAUGGGGUCUAUUUAUACUUGUAGACUCCUUAAGGAUUACAGAUAAGUCCCUAUCAGAUAAUCUUCUCUUAAGGCUAUCCAAAUCCAUUCCUAGAUAACUCUAAUGGACGAUUUUAGCUAUCCUAAUCCUCUUAGAAUUCGUCCAUAGUAUAUCCAAAUGGAUUUACAGUUUAAAGCUUAACUAUCAAACAAUUGACAGUUUAUACCCCUUUAUUUAAUUAAUCUCUUUAAGUCACCAAAUUAAUUCUAAUUAAUUCUAUGACUUAUAUUAAUCAAAUAACAAUAUUAUUAUUAUUUAUAUUAUUCUCAUAAUAUACUAAUAAUAUUUACUCUCUCUUAAUAAAUCAUCCUAUCAAGUUGCUAUGGUGAAGGCAACCCAAAAGGACCAUGCACAACCGGGUCAAAUACUUGCCUAAUAUAGUUGCAGCCUUAGACACUAUUCCAACAUUAAUCUUGUAAGCAUAACCAUAUUUACUAAGUUUUUAGUAAAUCAUGACGAAAAAUAUUUUUGUUAUUUAUGGUGGACUUGACUAGUGCACAACAUUGUGUACCAGCUCUCCUAGUCCUUCACUCGACACUUUUUCAAAGAAUUAGUCUAAUUUCCAAAUAUGAAAGUUUUCAUUCAUCACGCAACCAAGUUGUAUGAUUCCAAGUUUCUGUCCAAUUGAAACUUGGGCGAUGAGAAACUCUCCCUAUUUGGUAAAUUCUUGACAUAUCCACAAAUAACAUAAUUAAGAAUCAAAUCCAUUAUUGCUAAUAAUAGAAACCUUCAAACAUCAAUUUCUCAUACACGCCAUUGCAAGGAUAAAUAAACAAGAUAAAAUCAAAUUUUAUUUUAUUGCGGAAAAAUUUGUCCUUACAAUGCAAUUCAAUUGAAAAACUAUGUUAUUACAUAUUUCUUAGCAAUCUAUUCUAACUCCAAGUAGUAGCUCAAGAAUCUAAUCUUCAAGCAAU